rnacentral:rRNA from 1 species
CAGCUACACAUGCAAGCCGAGCGGUAUUGUUUCUUCGGAAAUGAGAGAGCGGCGUACGGGUGCGGAACACGUGUGCAACCUGCCUUUAUCUGGGGGAUAGCCUUUCGAAAGGAAGAUUAAUACUCCAUAAUAUAUUGAACGGCAUCGUUUAAUAUUGAAAGCUCCGGCGGAUAGAGAUGGGCACGCGCAAGAUUAGCUAGUUGGUGAGGUAACGGCUCACCAAGGCAAUGAUCUUUAGGGGGCCUGAGAGGGUGAUCCCCCACACUGGUACUGAGACACGGACCAGACUCCUACGGGAGGCAGCAGUGAGGAAUAUUGGUCAAUGGGUGCAAGCCUGAACCAGCCAUCCCGCGUGAAGGACGACUGCCCUAUGGGUUGUAAACUUCUUUUGUAUAGGGAUAAACCUUCCCACGUGUGGGAAGCUGAAGGUACUAUACGAAUAAGCACCGGCUAACUCCGUGCCAGCAGCCGCGGUAAUACGGAGGGCGCAAGCGUUAUCCGGAUUUAUUGGGUUUAAAGGGUCCGUAGGCGGACUUAUAAGUCAGUGGUGAAAGCCUGUCGCUUAACGAUAGAACUGCCAUUGAUACUGUAAGUCUUGAGUAUAAUUGAGGUGGCUGGAAUAAGUAGUGUAGCGGUGAAAUGCAUAGAUAUUACUUAGAACACCAAUUGCGAAAGCAGGUUACCAAGUUAUAACUGACGCUGAGGGACGAAAGCGUGGGGAGCGAACAGGAUUAGAUACCCUGGUAGUCCACGCCGUAACGAUGCUAACUCGUUUUUGGGGCGCAAGCUUCAGAGACAGCGAAAGUGAUAGUUAGCCACCUGGGGAGUACGCUCGCAGAGUGA